rnacentral:rRNA from 1 species
GAUGAACGCUGGCGGCGUGCCUAAUACAUGCAAGUCGAGCGAACAGAUAAGGAGCUUGCUCCUUUGACGUUAGCGGCGGACGGGUGAGUAACACGUGGGUAACCUACCUAUAAGACGGGGAUAACUUCGGGAAACCGGCGCUAAUCCCGGAUAACAUUUGGAACCGCAUGGUUCUAAAGUGAAAGUUGGUUUUGCUAUCACUUCUAGAUGGACCCGCGCCGUAUUAGCUAGUUGGUAAGGUAACGGCUUACCAAGGCGACGAUACGUAGCCGACCUGAGAGGGUGAUCGGCCACACUGGAGCUGAGACACGGUCCAGACUCCUACGGGAGGCAGCAGUAGGGAAUCGUCCGCAAUGGGCGAAAACCUGACGGAGCAACGCCGCGUGAGUGAUGAAGGGGUUCGGCUCGUAAAACUCUGUUAUUAGGGAAGAACAAAUGUGUAAGUAACUGUGCACGUCUUGACGGUACCUAAUCAGAAAGCCACGGCUAACUACGUG